CGCAGCAGCUGCCGCCGGGGCCGCAGAGACGUGCCAGGGGGAACCUUAGGGGCCUCAACAUUGGGGUCACAGCUGCCUAGAGGUGUCCUGUAGUCACCAAGACUGGCGAAUAUAUUGUGACAGACGAUAAAUGUGAAGAAGAGCAGCUCUCAUCACCCAUCACCUCUGUGAGAUGAAAGGCCCUGAAAGCAGCCAGCCACCCUGCUGGACACAGCUCAGCUGUUGGAAGAAGUGUUUGACAGGAGUGGCAGCUCUCCUCUGUCAGAAUAACACGGAGGUGCACGAAGACACACAUGCCUGGAAAUUGAUUUGACUGGUUCAGAACGUACAAGGGGCAAAGGAGAGCACUCAUGGAGAAGUUUGUACAAUUGAUUUCUGGAGGGCUUGAGUUGCAGGACCCACUCUUUUCUCUCAUUCAGCCUCACCAACUCACAGCCACACACACACACACACACACUCUUUAAGUCUCUUUCCUUCUGCCUGUGUGUUUCCUGAGGCUUUAGAUAUGUACUUUCAGGAUAAGAGCAGAGACAAGGUUAUAAUGAAUCCAUGGUGUCUCAGCUGUGAAGUUUAAGGGGGAAAAGUGACUAAAAAACCCUGUUAUUCCUAUAGAGGAUAUUACAGUUGACUUAGCAGAAAGGCUGUGUUUUUGCAAUGUGUGUGUUGACUUGCAGAUUUUGCCUGGGUUCCCUCUACCAGGAAAUCAAAGAUUUGUUUAAAUAAUAUCUACCUGUUUACCCAUACCUGAUGUGUACCAGUUAUUCACUCUUUCAAAUUUCACAAUUCUUGCAGGAAAAGUAAAUCUUAAAUUCAUGUUUAUGUCAGUAAUUAAACUUGAAUGUAUGAGUUUGCAUUUCAUCUGUUGCUUUAACGCUGUGUCAAUAACAUGGUCAUGUACAAUAAUUGUAAUUUAGGUACUGAUCAGCAUUGUAAAUU